UUCUUGGUCAUUUAGAGGAAGUAAAAGUCGUAACAAGGUUUCCGUAGGUGAACCUGCGGAAGGAUCAUUAAAGAAAUUUAAUAAUUUUGAAAAUGGAUUUUUUUGUUUUGGCAAGAGCAUGAGAGCUUUUACUGGGCAAGAAGACAAGAGAUGGAGAGUCCAGCCGGGCCUGCGCUUAAGUGCGUGGUCUUGCUAGGCUUGUAAGUUUCUUUCUUGCUAUUCCAAACGGUGAGAGAUUUCUGUACUUUUGUUAUAGGACAAUUAAAACCGUUUCAAUACAACACACUGUGGAGUUUUCAUAUCUUUGCAACUUUUUCUUUGGGCAUUCGAGCAAUCGGGGCCCAGAGGUAACAAACACAAACAAUUUUAUCUAUUCAUUAAAUUUUUGUCAAAAACAAGAAUUUUCGUAACUGGAAAUUUUAAAAUAUUAAAAACUUUCAACAACGGAUCUCUUGGUUCUCGCAUCGAUGAAGAACGCGGCGAAAUGCGAUACGUAAUGUGAAUUGCAGAAUUCCGUGAAUCAUCGAAUCUUUGAACGCACAUUGCGCCCCUUGGUAUUCCAGGGGGCAUGCCUGUUUGAGCGUCAUUUCCUUCUCAAACAUUCUGUUUGGUAGUGAGUGAUACUCUUUGGAGUUAACUUGAAAUUGCUGGCCUUUUCAUUGGAUGUUUUUUUUCCAAAGAGAGGUUUCUCUACGUGCUUGAGGUAUAAUGCAAGUACGGUCGUCUUAGGUUUUACCAACUGCGGCUAAUCUUUUUUUAUACUGAGCGUAUUGGAACGUUAUCGAUAAGAAGAGAGCGUCUAGGCGAACAAUGUUCUUAAAGUUUGACCUCAAAUCAGGUAGGAGUACCCGCUGAACUUAAGCAUAUCAAUAAGCGGAGGAA
rnacentral:rRNA from 1 species